AUGACCAAUAUGAAGCGUGUGUCAUUCCUUCCACCCCUCCUCCUUCCCCUAUUUGGCCUUGCCUUCGCAACCUUUGCCGCCGGCGAUGACCAGUUCAUCUUCUCCGGCUUCACACAAUCCAGCCUAGCCCUUGACGGCGGUGCCGUGGUCACACAAGGAGGCCUCCUUGAUAUGUCCAACGGCACAAACAAUAUCAAAAGCCAUGCUCUUUACCCUACUCCUUUGCGCUUCCGCAAUUCAUCCGGUGGUAAAGUGCAAUCAUUCUCGGCCACCAUCGUCUUUUGUAUCGUCGGCGCAUACCCUGGCGUGAGCGCUAAUGGCCUGGCCUUCUUCAUCGCUCCAAGCAAGAAUUUCUCGGAUGCACAGCUGACGCAGUACUUUGGGAUCCUGAAACCGAACAACAAUGACAACCUCUUUGUUAUCGAGGUUGACACCUUCCAGAACCCCGACAUGCAAGACAUCAACGACAACCACAUCGGCAUCGACAUCAACAGCGUUUUGUCCUUGCAAUCUCACGAGGCUGGCUUCUAUGAGGACUCUAGUGGCGUCUUCAAGAACUUGACGCUGAAUGCUCAAAUAGAGCUGCAGCUGUGGGUGGACUAUGAGGAGGAGGAAACAAGGAUCAAUGUGACCUUGGCUCCACUUCAUAUGGGAAAACCCUCGAGGCCACUGUUGUCCGCAGCCUAUGACCUCUCAGCCGUGCUUACAGACACGGCGUAUAUUGGUUUCUCAUCCACGGCUGAAAUUAUGAACACCCGUCAUUAUGUUCUUGGAUGGAGCUUUGGCAUGAACGGUCAAGCAGCUCCGUCCAUUGACAUCUCCAAGCUUCCAAAGGUGCCUCGUCUACGACAAAGGGCCCAGUCCAAGCUCUUGGCGAUCAUCCUCCCCAUAGCCACUGCAGCACUGAUAAUCUCUGUCGGCACCGUUGUCAUUCUGAUGGUGCGAAGAAGACGAAGGUAUAGUGAGGUGCGCGAGGAUUGGGAGGGCGAGUUCGGUCCACACCGAUUCUCGUACAAGGAUUUAUUCCAGGCCACACAAGGAUUUAAGAGCAAGAACCUAGUUGGAGCAGGAGGGUUCGGGGAGGUUUACAAAGGGGUGCUUCGGUUGUCCAAGAAGGAGAUCGCGGUCAAGAAGAUGUCCCAUGAGUCAAGACAAGGGAUGAAGGAGUUCAUCACCGAGGUUGUCAGCAUCGGCAAGCUGCGACAUCGCAACCUAGUGCAGCUACUUGGUUACUGCAGGCGGAAAGGUGAGCUGAUGUUGGUGUACGACUACAUGUCAAAUGGCAGCCUCGACAAAUACAUACACUAUCAAGAGGACGACAAGCCCACCUUAAAUUGGGCUCAGAGGUUUCAGGUCAUCAAGGGUAUCGCUACCGGCUUGCUCUACCUCCACGAGAAGUGGGAGAAAGUCGUGAUCCACCGAGACAUCAAGGCAAGCAACGUCCUCCUCGACGAUGAGAUGAACGGCCGGCUCGGUGACUUCGGCCUUGCCCGGUUAUAUGAUCAUGGCGCCGAUCCACAGAGCACACACAUGGUGGGCACGAUGGGGUACCUUGCCCCCGAGCUAGUGCGCACAGGCAAGGCGUCCCCUCGCACCGACGUGUAUGCCUUCGGCAUGUUUCUUCUCGAAGUUACAUGCGGGCAAAAGCCUAUGAAGCAAGAUGCAGAGGGAAAUCAGGUUUUCUUGGUCGACUGGGUCCUGGAGCACUGGAACAACCGGCUGCUUAGCAAGACGGUGGACGCACGGCUCCAGGGCGACUACGGCGUUGACGAAGCGUGCCUCGUGCUGAAGAUAGGACUUCUGUGCAUGCACCCCUUUCCUGGUUCAAGGCCAAGCAUGCGAGAAGUCACGCAGUACCUCGACGGCGAGACCCCGCUGCCGGAGCUGAAGACGACGCAGCUGAGCGUGGACAUGCAGGGGUUGAUGCAGGACAACGGAUUCAACACUUCUGUCAUGUCUUAUCCCCAGCUGAUGUCCAGCUUUGGGGCAGUGUCCGACCUCUCUGGAGGACGAUGA
rnacentral:rRNA from 1 species